rnacentral:rRNA from 1 species
CGGACGGGUGAGUAACGCGUGGGUAACCUACCCUGUGCACACGGAUAACAUACCGAAAGGUAUGCUAAUACGGGAUAAUAUACUUGAGAGGCAUCUCUUGAAUAUCAAAGGUGAGCCAGUACAGGAUGGACCCGCGUCUGAUUAGCUAGUUGGUAAGGUAACGGCUUACCAAGGCGACGAUCAGUAGCCGACCUGAGAGGGUGAUCGGCCACAUUGGAACUGAGACACGGUCCAA